AUUAUACUCGUGAUGAUAACAUAGUUCAGCUGAGUAAACCAUGCUGAUUUCAUUUUAAUGUCUUUCGCUCCUAUCUGAAGUAUAAU